UCCUGUGUGGCUCAGUUGGUAGGGCAUGGUGUUUGCAACGCCAGGUUUGUGGGUUCGAUUCCCACGGGGGAA
rnacentral:tRNA from 1 species